UUGGUGUGAAUUGCAGAAUCCC
rnacentral:siRNA from 1 species